CAAUAGCGUAUAUUAAAGUUGUUGCGGUUAAAAAGCUCGUAGUUGGAUUUCUGCCGAGGACGACCGGUCCGCCCUCUGGGUGAGUAUCUGGCUCGGCCUGGGCAUCUUCUUGGAGAACGUAGCUGCACUUGACUGUGUGGUGCGGUAUCCAGGACUUUUACUUUGAGGAAAUUAGAGUGUUUCAAGCAGGCAUACGCCUUGAAUACAUUAGCAUGGAAUAAUAAUAUAGGACUUUGGUUCUAUUUUGUGGUUUCUAGAGCUAAAGUAAUGAUUAAUAGGGACACUUGGGGGCAUUCGUAUUAUCACGUCAGAGGUGGAAUUCUUGGAUUGUGUUACGACGAACUACUGCGAAAGCAUUUGCCAAGGAUGUUUUCAUUGAUCAAGAACGAAAGUAAGGGGAUCGAAGACGAUCAGAUACC
rnacentral:rRNA from 1 species